UAAUACGGAGGAUCCAAGCGUUAUCCGGAAUCAUUGGGUUUAAAGGGUCCGUAGGCGGCCCUGUAAGUCAGUGGUGAAAUCUCCCCGCUUAACGGGGAAACUGCCAUUGAUACUGCAGGGCUUGAAUUAUUGGGAAGUAACUAGAAUAUGUAGUGUAGCGGUGAAAUGCUUAGAGAUUACAUGGAAUACCGAUUGCGAAGGCAGGUUACUACCAAUUGAUUGACGCUGAUGGACGAAAGCGUGGGUAGCGAACAGGAUUAGAUACCCUGGUAGUCCACGCCGUAAACGAUGGAUACUAGCUGUUGGGCGCAAGCUCAGUGGCUAAGCGAAAGUGAUAAGUAUCCCACCUGGGGAGUACGGGCGCAAGCCUG
rnacentral:rRNA from 1 species